AUUGAACGCUGGCGGCAUGCCUUAUACAUGCAAGUCGAACGGCAGCACGGGUACCUUCCCCCUCUGGCGUUUGGCGCGCGGGUGAGUAUUACAUCUGGACAUCUUCUCUAUUGGGGUAUAGUCCGUCCGAAGCCGGAUUACUACUGCCGACUAUCUACUUAAGAAGGCGGGGGCCCUUCUGGCCUCGCGCUUUGCUGUUGCUCAAUGGCUGAUUAGCUAGUUGGUGGGGUAAAGGCCUACCAAGGCGACGAUGAGUAGCCGAUCUGAGAGGACGAUCAGCCACACUGGAACUGAGACACGGCCCAGACUCCUACGGGAGGCAGCAGUAGGGAAUCUUGCGCAAUGGGCGAAAGCUUGACCCAGCAAUGCCGCGUGUGUGAAGAAGGCCUUCGGAUUGUAAAGCACUGUUGUCAGGAAAGAACUAAUUGGCAAUAAUCCAGGCACGUGUUGACGGUACCGGAAGAAUAAGCACCGGCUAACUACGUG
rnacentral:rRNA from 1 species